rnacentral:lncRNA from 1 species
CUAAUUUUCCCUCAUGUGUUAGGAGUCAGAAGGCCUAGAAAUUCACACAAGAUUGAACCAUCAUUGACUCAAUUAGUCAUCAAACUUUCCUGCCGUGCCCACCGUCUUAAGGACUCCUGGAACAAGUCACACCCAGAUUUAGCCACUUAGGCAUCCGGAGACCAAGGCAAACAUGCUAAAAAGGAAGGCCCAGAUAUAUCGCAUACUUGUGGCAGAUUCUGACACUGACCAUAUGGUGCUGGUUUGGCAACAGGCAGAAUCCAGUUACAGGGACAUCAAGCUUGUGACAGAGUUCCAAGUCAGUGGGGCCAGACAACCUGCUGUAGGAUUGGGUUCUACUAAGAGCAAUUUUUGAGGCUGUGAAGGUGAAGACCAAGUGACAGUUGAGACCUCAAGAUAUUGAAGGUGUCAAAGGCAUGAGGAUAUAUGCCAAGAAGAGCUACCGGCACUGAGUGUCUCCAUCAGGAGAAAGGCAAUGCAUGGACCUCCCCAAGUCCAUUGGGGCACAUGUGAUCCUGUCACAUGACCCAGAUGCUGGGCGUGGAGCUGCAGGGUUCAAUGUCUCCCGAGCUAGGACUGGGUCUUGCUUUGAUCUAUUUUUCCUUGUGAAGUCUUUGUGUCUUCCUUUUGGGAUGGAUAUAUUGGGAUGUGUACAUUUGAAACAUGAAACUUUUUUUUUUUGAUUUCACAAGUGCUCAUGGACUUUCUUGAAUCUCAGAAGAGACUGAGGAUUUUUUGAACAAUUUUGAGACUGAUCUUUAAUUCAUCUUGAAAUUUCUUGGCAUUACCUAAAGAUAAAAACAGUAAGCUUUGGCCCCAUCUACUGCGAGAAUGAAGACCAUUCUCAGCAAUCAGACCAUCGACAUUCCAGAAAAUGUGGACAUCACUCUGAAGGGGCGCAGAGUCAUUGUGAAGGGCCCCAGAGGAACCCUCCGAGGGACUUCCAUCACAUCAAGGUAGAGCUGAGUCUCCUCGGGAAGAAGAAGAGGCUACGGGAAGACAAAUGGUGGGGUAACAGAAAGGAACUGGCCACUGUCCGGACCAUCUGCAGCCAUGUUCAAGGGAGUCACACUAGGCUUCGGCUACAAUAUGAGGUCUGUGUAUGCUCACUUCCCCACCAACGUCGUUA